rnacentral:rRNA from 1 species
UACGUAGGGUGCAAGCGUUAUCCGGAAUUAUUGGGCGUAAAGAGCUCGUAGGCGGUUUGUCGCGUCUGCUGUGAAAACUGGAGGCUCAACCUCCAGCCUGCAGUGGGUACGGGCAAACUAGAGUGCGGUAGGGGAGAUUGGAAUUCCUGGUGUAGCGGUGAAAUGCGCAGAUAUCAGGAGGAACACCGGUGGCGAAGGCGGGUCUCUGGGCCGAAACUGACGCUGAGGAGCGAAAGCGUGGGGAGCAAACAGG